rnacentral:rRNA from 1 species
AACGAACGCUGGCGGCGUGUUUAAGACAUGCAAGUCGCACGGGAUAAGACAUUUAGUAAUACUUGUUUUAUUUAGUGGCGCACGGGUGAGUAACACGUGAAUUACAUGCCCUAUAGUGGGGAAUAGCCCAGGGAAACUUGGAUUAAUACCCCAUGGUAUCGAAAGAUUAAAGGUGGCCGCAAGGCUGUCGCUAUAGGAUUGGAACGCGCCCUAUCAGAUUGUUGGUGAGGUAACGGCUCACCAAGGCAAUGACGGGUACCUGGUCUGAGAGGACGAUCAGGCCCAAUGGAACUGACACACGGGCCAGACACCACCGGGUGGCAGCAGUCGAGAAUAAUUCACAAUGGGGGCAACCCUGAUGGUGCAACGCCGCGUGGAGGAUGACGGUCUUCGGAUUGUAAACUCCUGUCAUCUGGGAGAAAGACCUGACGGUAAAUAGCCGGCAGGGUUGAUAGUACCAGAAGAGGAAGGGACGGCUAACUUCGUGCCAGCCGCCGCCGUAA